rnacentral:rRNA from 1 species
AGAGCGAACGCUGGCGGCGUGCUUAACACAUGCAAGUCGAACGAGGUCUGUAGCAAUACAGAUACUCGUGGCGAACGGGUGCGUAACACGUGGAUAACCUUCCUUCAGGUGGGGAAUAACCCAGUGAAAAUUGGGCUAAUACCGCAUAACAUGACGAGGGCACAUGCUUUUGUCUUCAAAGGCGCAAGUCGCCAGAAGAGGGAUCCGCGGCCGAUUAGCUAGUUGGUGAGGUAAUGGCUCACCAAGGCUUUGAUCGGUA